CAUAUCAAAAGGAUAGUCGAAAAUGAGGAAUAAACAAUGGAAUUCAUAGAUUUUUUAUCCGUUGAGAAUAAUGAUCUUCCAGCUGAUGCUUAUGCUGUUGUGUUUUCUGUCCACGAUAACAAUUCGUUUACAAUAGCAGAGGGAUUUCUACAUUAUAUGAGCAAUUAUUUUGAUAGUGUUAGACCAAUUAUAUGAGUGGCUAACAAGAUUGAUAUAGUAAGAAAACGACAAGUAACCAAAGAAGACCCAUGUCAGCUCGCCAAGGAAUUCGACUGGAAAUAUAUCGAAACAUCUGCUGUGCUAAAUAAUACUGUUGACGAACUAUUUGUUUGAAUAUUGAAACAAAUAAAACUGAAGUUUUACCCAAAGACUAUUGAAAAAGCAGUAAUGCUUUCACAGGACACAGGGGAAAAUCAUUCAUCAUGUAAAGAACCCCAAAAACUUUUAAAAGAAACUGCAAACCUUUCUUAAGAUGUAAACAUUUAUUUGAUCUGUGAUU